rnacentral:rRNA from 1 species
ACCGUCGACAGUCUGGUAACGAGCGAGACCCCUGCGUCUAGUUGCUACCAUUACUCUCUGGAGCAGUGGAGCGAAUUAGACGGACCGCCACAGUUAAUGUGGAGGAAGGGAGGGGCCACGGCAGGUCAGUAUGCCCCGAAACCCUAGGGCUACACGCGGGCUGCAAUGGUAUUGACAAUGUGUUCCGAAUCCGAAAGGAGGAGGCAAUCAUCAAACAAUAUCUCAGUUAUGACUGAGGGCUGUAACUCGCCCUCACGAAUAUGGAAUCCCUAGUAACCGCGCGUCACUGCCGCGCGGUGAAUACGUCCCUGCUCCUUGCACGAAUUCGCCG